GAUGAACGCUGGCGGCGUGCUUAACACAUGCAAGUCGAACGGUGAACGAGGGAGCUUGCUCCCUCCGGAUCAGUGGCGAACGGGUGAGUAACACGUGAGCAAUCUGCCCUGGACUCUGGGAUAAGCGUUGGAAACGACGUCUAAUACCGGAUACGAGGCGUGGGGGCAUCCCCAACGCCUGGAAAGAACUUCGGUCCAGGAUGAGCUCGCGGCCUAUCGGGUAGUUGGUGAGGUAAUGGCUCACCAAGCCUACGACGGGUAGCCGGCCUGAGAGGGUGACCGGCCACACUGGGACUGGGACACUGCCCAGACUCCUACGGGAGGCAGCAGUGGGGAAUAUUGCACAAUGGGCGCAAGCCCGAUGCAGCAACGCCGCGUGAGGGACGACGGCCUUCGGGUUGUAAACCUCUUUUAGCAGGGAAGAAGCGAAAGUGACGGUACCUGCAGAAAAAGCACCGGCUAACUACGUGCCAGCAGCCGCCGUAAGAC
rnacentral:rRNA from 1 species